rnacentral:piRNA from 1 species
UUAGUUGGAAUAUUUGUGGUU